UUUGCACAUAAAAGAAUCCAGAUACUACAAAUCUAGGAGUACAAUGCAAUGCAGCUUUGCGCAAGGUACGAACACGCUCUGCUCUAGGCGAGGCGACUGGCCUCGCGCAGCCGCGCAGAGAGAAAGAAAUGAGCGGAAAGAUGAUACGCGAGCGGCGGCCGUGCUCCUCGUCGGGGCCCGAGCUCUGACCCGCCCGCGUGACCCGUGUCUGCCCGGCUGCCUGCCCCGCCGCGGCCCACGCACGUCUGCACUGCACGCUCGAGCGGUCGGUCACGGGCUCGGGCGGCCGGCGCAGUGCCGUCCACUCGGCCACUCCGAUCUGACGCAACGCGAGUAGG
rnacentral:lncRNA from 1 species